rnacentral:rRNA from 1 species
GAUGAACGCUGGCGGCGUGCCUAAUACAUGCAAGUCGAGCGAACAGACGAGGAGCUUGCUCCUCUGACGUUAGCGGAGGACGGGUGAGUAACACGUGGAUAACCUACCUAUAAGACUGGGAUAACUUCGGGAAACCGGAGCUAAUACCGGAUAAUAUAUUGAACCGCAUGGUUCAAUAGUGAAAGACGGUUUUGCUGUCACUUAUAGAUGGAUCCGCGCCGCAUUAGCUAGUUGGUAAGGUAACGGCUUACCAAGGCAACGAUGCGUAGCCGACCUGAGAGGGGGUUCGGCCACACUGGAACUGAGACACGGUCCAGACACCUACGGGAGGCAGCAGUAGGGAAGCUUCCGCAAAGGGCGAAAGCUUGACGGAGCAACGCCGCGUGAGUGAUGAAGGUCUGCGGAUCGUAAAACGCUGUUAUUAGGGAAGAACAAAUGUGUAAGUAACGAUGCACGUCUUGACGGUACCUAAACAGAAAGCCACGGCUAACUACGU